rnacentral:tRNA from 1 species
UGCCAGAUCGUCUAAUGGUAGGACAGCAGCCUUUGAAGCUGUGAAUGUUGGUUCGAUUCCAGCUCUGGCAGC